rnacentral:rRNA from 1 species
GAUGAACGCUGGCGGCGUGCCUAAUACAUGCAAGUCGAGCGAACGGACGAGAAGCUUGCUUCUCUGAUGUUAGCGGCGGACGGGUGAGUAACACGUGGAUAACCUACCUAUAAGACUGGGAUAACUUCGGGAAACCGGAGCUAAUACCGGAUAAUAUUUUGAACCGCAUGGUUCAAAAGUGAAAGACGGUCUUGCUGUCACUUAUAGAUGGAUCCGCGCUGCAUUAGCUAGUUGGUAAGGUAACGGCUUACCAAGGCAACGAUGCAUAGCCGACCUGAGAGGGUGAUCGGCCACACUGGAACUGAGACACGGUCCAGACUCCUACGGGAGGCAGCAGUAGGGAAUCUUCCGCAAAGGGCGAAAGCCUGACGGAGCAACGCCGCGUGAGUGAUGAAGGUCUUCGGAUCAUAAAACUCUGUUAUUAGGGAAGAACAGAUGUGUAAGUAACUGUGCACAUCUUGACGGUACCUAAUCAGAAGGCCACGGCUAACUACGUG